AGUGAACGCUGGCGGUAGGCCUAACACAUGCAAGUCGAACGGCAGCACAGUAAGAGCUUGCUCUUACGGGUGGCGAGUGGCGGACGGGUGAGGAAUACAUCGGAAUCUACUUUUUCGUGGGGGAUAACGUAGGGAAACUUACGCUAAUACCGCAUACGACCUACGGGUGAAAGCAGGGGAUCUUCGGACCUUGCGCGAUUGAAUGAGCCGAUGUCGGAUUAGCUAGUUGGCGGGGUAAAGGCCCACCAAGGCGACGAUCCGUAGCUGGUCUGAGAGGAUGAUCAGCCACACUGGAGCUGAGACACGGUCAAGACUCCUACGGGAGGCAGCAGUGGGGAAUAUUGGACAAUGGGCGCAAGCCUGAUCCAGCCAUACCGCGUGGGUGAAGAAGGCAUUCGGGUUGUAAAGCCCUUUUGUUGGGAAAGAAAAGCAGCAGGUUAAUACCCCGCUGUUCUGACGGUACCCAAAGAAUAAGCACCGGCUAACUUCGUG
rnacentral:rRNA from 1 species